GGAGAGAGAGAAACAAGAGCUGUGAAAAUGAGAAAACUUGCCGAGGAGUGUAGCAUCAUCAAUCAGCUGCUAAUCUGCCAACAGUUCAUCUCGAGGCUCAGAUUAGUGUCCUUUCACUAAUGCCAAACAGGAAAAGAAACAGUCUGAAGCAUCAAGAAAGGAGGAACAACAGAAACCCUGAAACUAAUCUGGUUUAGUCCUCAUGAAGAUCUAACCUGAAACAAAGUACCAGAAACAGCUUGCUCAGAAAGUAUCCAGAGAUGGAAGUGCCUGGAGUGGAGGAGCUCUGGCUGGCAGGGAAGGAGGAAGCCUCAAAAGCAGAAUGAAUUAGACACCACCACCACUAUCUGGCCACAGCCCUUUGCUCCUGUAGUUACUUCAUUGUAUCCUGGAUUGCACAUAAGACAAUAAGAGAACAAGCUCUCUGAACGGUCCAAACCACUCUUUCUUUGGUUGGCUUCACUCAACACUGCAGUAGAUUUUAGGGUUUGAAAGUAGAUUAGGGUUUGAAAGAGAGAGAGAAAGGAACGUUCUUCCAAUUAUGUCGGCUUUGACCAUUGAGUUUUGUAUGUGAAUGUCACAAACAUUUCACAACAGGUCAUAUG
rnacentral:lncRNA from 1 species